rnacentral:rRNA from 1 species
AUGGCGAUCAUCCUGCUCCUCCUACUCACACCGUCUCUGGCGGCCGCCGACGUGUUUUGCGACAACGUCAAGGCCAUCGCCACCACUCUCUCCAAAAACGCCGCCUCUUCCCCGGUACACUUCGCCACCAAGACCUUUGGCGGCGGCCCCAACGUCGUCUUCGCGCUCGGGCUCUGCCGCGGCAACGUCCUCGACGGCCCCGCCUGCGGUGACUGCAUCGCCAACUGGUUCGGCAAAGCGCUGAACCGGACCAGGUGCGACAAGGCCCGCUCCACCUACGGCGACUGUAUCGUCGUCUACAGCGCCGGCGAUGAUAUCCUAGCGGCGCCCUCGAAUACCACGGGAGCGUACGGCGACAACACGCCGCUAUUCCAGCAGUGGAACAUCAAGAACCUCACCACCGGCGACGUCCCCCUCGUCCACGAGCUUCUGGUGGAAACUGCGGAGAAGGCGGCCACCACGACGCCGAGGCUGUACGCGACCGGCGUCAUGGACAUAGACGAAGUGACGACCUACCCGAAGGUGUACUCCCAGGCGCAGUGCACGCCGGACCUGUCCGCCGACGACUGCUUGGCGUGCUUGCGCCGUCUCCUCGGCAUGGUCAACUCCACCAUGUCCCUGCGCAUUGGCGGGCAGAUGGCUGUCAUGCGGUGCUAUUUUAGGUACGAGGCGUAUCUGUUCUACGACGCCCGGCCCAUGCUGAGUCUGCCGUUGCCGCCACUGCCGACGACUCCGACCAAAAGCGGGAGCAUGUUGUGGGUAGUUGCGGUAGUUGUAGUUCCACUAACGGCAGCAGCAUUUCUCUUUUUUUUUUUGAACAAGGGCAGGGUCCAAAAGGACCCCAAACUUUAUUUGAUAUUACAAUACCGUAGUACAAGCGAGAGCAACAGGACACACAACAAACUGAAAAUUACAAAGCAGUCCCUGAAAUAUGCAGAAAGGACCCCAAAGAUCUGA